rnacentral:rRNA from 1 species
UACGUAGGGAGCAAGCGUUGUCCGUAUUUAUUGGGCGUAAAGAGCUCGUAGGCGGUUCGGUAAGUCGGGUGUGAAAACUCUGGGCUCAACCCAGAGAUGCCACUCGAUACUGCUGUGACUUGAGUCUGGCAGGGGAGCACGGAAUUCCUGGUGUAGCGGUGAAAUGCACAGAUAUCAGGAGGAACACCGGUGGCGAAGGCGGUGCUCUGGGCCAGUACUGACGCUGAGGAGCGAAAGCGUGGGGAGCGAACAGG